AUUGAACGCUGGCGGCAGGCCUAACACAUGCAAGUCGAACGAGUGGCGGACGGGUGAGUAAUGUCUGGGAAACUGCCCGAUGGAGGGGGAUAACUACUGGAAACGGUAGCUAAUACCGCAUACCAUCGGAUGUGCCCAGAUGGGAUUAGCUAGUAGGUGGGGUAAAGGCGCACCUAGGCGACGAUCCCUAGCUGGUCUGAGAGGAUGACCAGCCACACUGGGACUGGUACACGGUCCAGACUCCUACGGGAGGGAGGAGGGGGGAAUAUUGCACAAUGGGCGCAAGCCUGAUGCAGCCAUGCCGCGUGUAUGAAGAAGGCCUUCGGGUUGUAAAGUACUUUCAGCGGGGAGGCGUUACCCGCAGAAGAAGCACCGGCUAACUCCGUGCCAGCAGCCGCGGUAAUAC
rnacentral:rRNA from 1 species